rnacentral:rRNA from 1 species
AGAGCGAACGCUGGCGGCAGGCCUAACACAUGCAAGUCGAGCGCCCGUAGCAAUACGGGAGCGGCAGACGGGAUAGUAACACGUGGGAACGCGCCCUUCGGUUCGGAAUAACUCAGGGAAACUUGAGCUAAUACCGAAUACGCCCUUACGGGGAAAGAUUUAUUGCCGAAGGAACGGCCCGCGUCCGAUUAGCUAGUUGGUGAGGUAAUGGCUCACCAAGGCUACGAUCGGUAGCUGGUCUGAGAGGAUGACCAGCAUCACUGGGACUGAGACACGGCCCAGACUCCUACGGGAGGCAGCAGUGGGGAAUAUUGGACAAUGGGCGCAAGCCUGAUCCAGCCAUGCCGCGUGGAUGAUGAAGGCCUUAGGGUUGUAAGUCCUUUUAACGGGGAAGAUAAUGACGGUACCCGUAGAAUAAGCCCGGCUAACUUCGUGCCAGCAGCCGC